rnacentral:rRNA from 1 species
AAACCCUUUAACGAGGAUCUAUCAGAGGGCAAGUCUGGUGCCAGCAGCCGCGGUAAUUCCAGCUCUGAAGGUGUAUACCACCGUUGUUGCGGUUAAAACGCUCGUAGUUGGAUCUACGUUCGUGGGGUCGGUGUUCUCGUUUGAGUUCUACUGACUACCUGAACUGAAACAGCUGGUUUUCCCUUGGUGCUCUUCAUUGGGUGCCCAGGGUGGCUAGCAAGUUUACUUUGAAAAAAUUAGAGCGCUCAAAACAGGCGCAUGCCUGAAUAGUGGUGCAUGGAAUAAUGGAAUAGGAUCUUGGUCCUAUUUUGUUGGUUUUCGGGAGCCAAGAUAAUGAUUAAGAGGGACAGACGGGGGCAUUCGUAUUGCAGCGUUAGAGGUGAAAUUCUUGGAUCGUCGCAAGACGAACAACUGCGAAAGCAUUUGCCAAGAAUGUUUUCAUUAAUCAAGAACGAAAGUUAGAGGUUCGAAGGCGAUCAGAUACCGCCCUAGUUCUAACCGUAAACGAUGCCAACUCGCGAUCUAGUGGUGUUAUUUAUGACCCGCUAGGGAGCGUCCCGGAAACGAAAGUUUUUCGGUUCCGGGGGAAGUAUGGUUGCAAAUCUGAAACUUAAAGGAAUUGACGGAAGGGCACCACCAGGAGUGGAGCCUGCGGCUUAAUUUGACACAACACGGGAAAACUCACCCGGCCCGGACACCGUAAGGAUUGACAGAUUGAGAGCUCUUUCUUGAUUCGGUGGGUGGUGGUGCAUGGCCGUUCUUAGUUGGUGGAGCGAUUUGUCUGGUUAAUUCCGAUAACGAACGAGACUCUAUCCUACUAAAUAGCAAGCGGAUCAGCCCAGUCCGCAGUGCUUCUUAGAGGGACAAGCAGCUUUUAGCUGCACGAAAGUGAGCAAUAACAGGUCUGUGAUGCCCUUAGAUGUCCGGGGCUGCACGCGCGCUACACUGAAAGGAUCAGCGUGCAAGAUACCUUCCCCGAGAGGGGUGGGUAACCCAAUCAAAACCUUUCGUGAUUGGGAUAGGAGAUUGCAAUUAUUCUCCUUGAACGAGGAAUUCCCAGUAAGUGUGGGUCAUCAGCUCGCGCUGAUUACGUCCCUGCCCUUUGUACACACCGCCCGUCGCUGCCCGGAACUGAGCCGUUUCGAGAAGAACAGGGACUGCUGUUUGGUGGCCUUCGGGUUGCCUCUUGGCGGAAACUGUUUU